UUUUAUGAUAGGCACAGAAAAAAGGUGGUUAGUAAAAAUGUUGCAUAAUGUUGUUCAACUGACCCAUACGCUGAGUCAUGCGUUUUAGCUAAAAACGGUUUGUAUGGUGGCCCGGCGUAUUGAAUACGCUCGGCGGUUCUUGGCCAUGAAUGGGUUAAGU